rnacentral:pre_miRNA from 1 species
AAAGUACCCCCUCCGUCCCAAAAUUCUUAUCUUAGAUUUGUCUAGAUACGGAUGUAUCAAGUCACAUUUUAGUAUUAGAUACAUCCGUAUCUAGACAAAUCUAAGACAAGAAAUUUGGGACAGAGGGAGUAGUUG